GAUGAACGCUGGCGGCGUGCCUAAUACGUGCAAGUCGAGCGAACGGACGAGAAGCUUGCUUCUCUGAUGUUAGCGGCGGACGGGUGAGUAACACGUGGAUAACCUACCUAUAAGACUGGGAUAACUUCGGGAAACCGGAGCUAAUACCGGAUAAUAUUUUGAACCGCAUGGUUCAAAAGUGAAAGACGGUCUUGCUGUCACUUAUAGAUGGAUCCGCGCUGCAUUAGCUAGUUGGUAAGGUAACGGCUUACCAAGGCAACGAUGCAUAGCCGACCUGAGAGGGGGAUCGGCCACACUGGAACUGAGACACGGUCCAGACUCCUACGGGAGGCAGCAGUAGGGAAUCUUCCGCAAUGGGCGAAAGCAUGACGGAGCAACGCCGCGUGAGUGAUGAAGGUCUUCGGAUCGUAAAACUCUGUUAUUAGGGAAGAACAUAUGUGUAAGUAACUGUGCACAUCUUGACGGUACCUAAUCAGAAAGCCACGGCUAACUACGUG
rnacentral:rRNA from 1 species